GCGUCGGUAGCCCAAUGGCAGGAGGCACCAGUCUUAGGAACUGGACAGUGUGAGUUCGAAUCUCACCCGGCGUAC
rnacentral:tRNA from 3 species